UAUAUAAACCUCAUCAAAAUUAUUGAAUAGAGACACACAAAACAAACAUUUCUUGAUAUCUUCUCUACCAACUUAAUUAGUUUUCAUCAUUUUAGUGCAGCAAUGGAUUGUGUAAAACUUGUACUAAUUUUUAUGCUAUAUCCCUUUCUCUGUCAACCUGCUUUCUCCUCAUCCUUACCUCAUUUGUGUCCCAAAGAUCAAGCUUUUGCUCUUCUACAAUUUAAGCACAUGUUUACCUAUAAUCCUAAUGCUUCUGAUUAUUGUUACAAUCCAACAACUCAUUCAUGGAACAAGACCACAGAUUGUUGCUCAUGGAAUGGAGUUUAUUGUGACGAGGUGAUGGGACAAGUGAUUGUGCUUGACCUCUCUUGCUGUGGACUUCAAGGAAAAUUUCAUACCAACAGUAGCCUGUUUCAGCUCUCCAGUCUUAAACGGCUGGAUUUAUCUUAUAAUGAUUUUUCCGGGUCUCUCAUUUCACCUAAAUUCAGUGAGUUAUCUAGCUUGAUGCAUCUUGAUUUGUCGCGUUCAAGUUUUACAGGUAUAAUCCCAGCAGAAAUCUCUCACCUUUCUAAAUUACAAGUUCUUCGUAUAUGGACUGUUGACCUGUAUAGGCUUAGACUCGGGCCUUACAAUUUUGAACUGCUCCUUAAGAACUUGACCCAAUUAAGAUAUCUUGAACUUGACUCUGUGAACAUCUCUUCCACCAUUCCUCUGAAUUUCUCUUCUUAUUUAACAACUCUACUCCUUCCAGCCACACAGUUACACGGGGUAUUGCCCAAAAGAGUUUUCCACCUUUCCAACUUGGAAGACCUUACUUUAUCAUCCAAUUCCAUAACUGGUCCAAUUCCAUCCAACGUAAGUGGACUCCAAAACCUAAAAUUACUCGCCUUGUCAUCAAACUACUUGAAUGGGACUAUACCUUCCUGGAUAUUCUCCCUCCCAUCACUAUCUACUUUAGACUUGAGCAAUAACUCUUUCAGUGGAAAAAUUCAGGAGUUCAAGUACAAAACAUUGGAAUUCGUUUCUGUAAAACAAAAUCAACUGCAAGGUCCUAUUCCAAAGUCACUCCUAAACCAGCAGGAACUACAAAUUCUUAUUCUUUCCCAAAAUAAUUUCAGCGGACAGAUUGGUUCAACCGUCUGCAAUCUGAAAACACUGGAACUGCUAGAUUUUGGAAGUAAUCAUUUGAACGGAGCAAUCCCACAAUGUUUAGGUGAGAUGAGUCGACUUAUAGUUUUGGGUUUAAAGAACAAUAGCCUCAGUGGAACAAUUAAUACAACUUUUAAUACUGAAAACCAACUCCGCAUCAUUAACUUGUACGGGAAUAAGCUGAAGGGGAAAGUUCCGCCAUCGUUGAUCAAUUGCAGAUAUUUGGAAUUCCUUGAUUUAGGCAACAAUGAGUUGAAUGACACAUUUCCAAGUUGGUUGGGAGGCCUUCCUCAUUUGACGAUUUUAAGUUUGAGAUCAAAUAAGUUGCACGGCCCUAUAAGUGAUUCAAGGACACACAACUUGUUUGCUAAAAUUCGAGUAAUAGAUCUCUCAUCCAAUGGAUUUAGUGGAAAUUUACCAGUGAGCUUUUUUGAGAAUUUUCAAGCCAUGAAAAUCAAUGGUGAGAACCGCGGAACCCAAGAGUAUGUUGCAGAUCCAUAUUCUGGUAAUUACGCGAAUACUUUGAUAGUUACAACAAAGGGACUGGAUCUAGAACUUCCUCGAGUUUUGACUACAUACAUGAUUAUCGAUCUCUCAAGGAACAGAUUUGAAGGUUAUCUUCCAAGCAUUAUUGGAGAUCUCGUUGGACUUCGUGCGCUGAACCUAUCUCAUAAUGGCUUGGAAGGUGUUAUACCAGCAUCGUUGCAACAUUUAUCUGUACUUGAAUCGUUGGAUCUCUCCUCCAACAAAAUAGGAGGUGAAAUUCCACAACAACUUGCAUCCCUCACAUUUCUUGCAGUCUUAAAUCUAUCUCAUAAUCAUCUUCUUGGAUGCAUUCCCAAAGGAAAACAAUUUGAUACAUUUGAUAACAGUUCAUACCAAGGGAAUGAUGGGUUACGUGGAUUGCCACUCUCAAAAGAUUGUGGUGGUGAUGAUGGGGUACCACAAGCGACAACUCCAGUUGAGCUAGAUGAUGAAGAAGCAGAAGAAGGAGAUUUGAUCAGUUGGCAAGCGGUUCUCAUGGGUUUCGGUUGUGGUCUGGUUAUUGGACUGUCCAUAAUAUACAUAAUGUUGUCAACUCACUAUUCAAUAUGGGUUUCGAGGAUGGUUGUAAAAUUUGAGCACAUAAUUAUUACGAGAAUGAAAAGAUAUUAGUGUGUAACUUGCAGGAUUCAACUCUAAUAUGCCGCCGGUGAUGCAAAUAUAAGCCUUCAUCUUUCAUAGAUUUUGUUCUUGUACAGAUAUUAGCCCAACUUCUGAUACAAGUCAAAUGGCCACCGUAAUUUUUGAAGACAUGAUUGGAGGUCAUCAUUUAAAGGCUCAAGACUUGUCACCCCGAGGGCACAAGAAUAUGCAAGGAUGACCCAUUUUGAGAAAAAACAA